rnacentral:rRNA from 1 species
GCGUUGUUCGGAUUCAUUGGGCGUAAAGGGUGUGUAGGUGGCGCGCUAAGUCGGGUGUGAAAUUUCGGAGCUUAACUCCGUAACUGCAUUCGAUACUGGCGUGCUUGAGGACUGGAGAGGAGACUGGAAUUUACGGUGUAGCAGUGAAAUGCGUAGAUAUCGUAAGGAAGACCAGUGGCGAAGGCGGGUCUCUGGACAGUUCCUGACACUGAGACACGAAGGCCAGGGGAGCAAACGGGAUUAGAUACCCCGGUAGUCCUGGCAGUAAACGGUGCACGUUUGGUGUGGGGGGAUUCGACCCCUUCUGCGCCGGAGCUAACGCGUUAAACGUGCCGCCUGGGGAGUACGGUCGCAAGAUUAAAACUCAAAGAAAUUGACGGGGGCCCGCACAAGCGGUGGAGUAUGUGGCUCAAUUCGAUGCAACGGGAAGAACCUUACCAGGCCUUGACAUGCAUCUCUAAGUUGGUGAAAGCCAGCGAGUGUCGAAAGACACAAUUUGCACAGGUGCUGCAUGGCUGUCGUCAGUUCGUGUCGUGAGAUGUUGGGUUAAGUCCCGCAACGAGCGCAACCCCUGUGAACUGUUGCCACGGAACCGAGAGGUUCCAGCACUCUGUUCAGACUGCCUCGCUUAAACGAGGAGGAAGGUGGGGACGACGUCAAGUCAGUAUGGCCCUUACGGCCUGGGCUGCACACGUACUACAAUGCCCAGUACAGAAUGAUCCGAUACCGCGAGGUGGAGGAAAUCUCACAAAAC